GAUCCUGGCUCAGAUUGAACGCUGGCGGCAUGCUUUACACAUGCAAGUCGAACGGCAGCAUAGAGAGCUUGCUCUCUGAUGGCGAGUGGCGAACGGGUGGGUAAUACAUCGGAACGUGUCCGUUUGUGGGGGACAACCAUCCGAAAGGAUGGCUAAUACCGCAUAAGACCUGAGGGUGAAAGCCGGGGACCGCAAGGCCUGGCGCGAACGGAGCGGCCGAUGACUGAUUAGCAGG
rnacentral:rRNA from 1 species